GAUGAACGCUGGCGGCGUGCUUAACACAUGCAAGUCGAACGGUGAAGCAGAGCUUGCUCUGUGGAUCAGUGGCGAACGGGUGAGUAACACGUGAGCAACCUGCCCCUGACUCUGGGAUAAGCGCUGGAAACGGCGUCUAAUACUGGAUAUGAGCUGCGACCGCAUGGUCAGCAGUUGGAAAGAUUUUUCGGUCUGGGAUGGGCUCACGGCCUAUCAGCUUGUUGGUGAGGUAAUGGCUCACCAAGGCGUCGACGGGUAGCCGGCCUGAGAGGGUGACCGGCCACACUGGGACUGAGACACGGCCCAGACUCCUACGGGAGGCAGCAGUGGGGAAUAUUGCACAAUGGGCGAAAGCCUGAUGCAGCAACGCCGCGUGAGGGAUGACGGCCUUCGGGUUGUAAACCUCUUUUAGCAGGGAAGAAGCGAAAGUGACGGUACCUGCAGAAAAAGCGCCGGCUAAUUACGUG
rnacentral:rRNA from 1 species